GCCUUCGUGGUGUAGUGGUCAGCACACUCAGUACCUAUUCGAGAGGUCCGUGGUUCGAAUCCUGGUGAGGGCA
rnacentral:tRNA from 1 species